rfam:Octopus bimaculoides Scaffold165172_contig_3, whole genome shotgun sequence.
GGCAGUUUGGUUUAAUGGUAAAGCACUUGAUAUAUAAUCAGAGAGAUGUGAGUUCGAGUCUUAUGGCUGGCCA